CAAACACAAACAAAAGGUUAGUCCACAACUGAACACACAACCUCAAUCACUCCUAAGUUAAUCAGUACAAAAGAUUACUUAGAACCCAACAAUCUCACCAUGAGUCCAAACGGCCAAGUGUGUGGUGAACCAAUAACCCAACAAAUCCUAGAAUCAAGAAGGCUCUUAUACCAACUUGUAAGACCCGAUCCUGGAUUCCCCAAUCCAACCAGACCGCGGCCUCACCAAACAAUGCAACCAGUUUCAUUUACAUAUUCUAGUUCUAGUGUUAAAUAAUUCUAAGUCUUUUUCAGAGUUUUGAGCUUCCAACAUUC
rnacentral:lncRNA from 1 species